GGCAAGACCACUUGCUAAGCCUAAAUACUACCUAGUGACCGAUAGCGGAUCAGUACCGUGAGGGAACGGUGAAAAGUACCCCGUGAGGGGAGUGAAAUAGUACCUGAAACCGUGUGCCUACAAGCCGUCGGAGCCUCCCUGGUGGGGGUGACGGCGUGCCUUUUGAAGAAUGAGCCUGCGAGUUAGUGCUCGGUGGCGAGGUUAACCCGUGUGGGGAAGCCGUAGCGAAAGCGAGUCCGAACAGGGCGAUUCAGUCGCCGGGUCUAGACCCGAAGCGAAGUGAUCUAGCCAUGGGCAGGUUGAAGCGCCGGUAAGACGGCGUGGAGGACCGAACCCACUUAGGUUGAAAACUGAGGGGAUGACCUGUGGUUAGGGGUGAAAGGCCAAUCAAACUUCGUGAUAGCUGGUUCUCCCCGAAAUGCAUUUAGGUGCAGCGUCACGCGUUCCUUGCCGGAGGUAGAGCUACUGGAUGGCCGAUGGGCCCUACCAGGUUACUGACGUCAACCAAACUCCGAAUGCCGG
rnacentral:rRNA from 1 species